rnacentral:rRNA from 1 species
UACGAAGGGGGCUAGCGUUGCUCGGAUUGACUGGGCGUAAAGCGCACGUAGGCGGAUGUGUCAGUCAGGGGUGAAAUCCCGGGGCUCAACCUCGGAACUGCCUUUGAUACAGCACGUCUCGAGUCCGGAAGAGGUGGGUGGAAUUCCUAGUGUAGAGGUGAAAUUCGUAGAUAUUAGGAAGAACACCGGUGGCGAAGGCGGCCCACUGGUCCGGUACUGACGCUGAGGUGCGAAAGCGUGGGGAGCAAACAGG